rnacentral:rRNA from 1 species
GACGAACGCUGGCGGCGUGCUUAACACAUGCAAGUCGAACGGAAAGGCCCUGCUUUUGCUGGGUGCUCGAGUGGCGAACGGGUGAGUAACACGUGAGUAACCUCCCCCUGACUUUGGGAUAACUUCAGGAAACUGGGGCGAAUACCGGAUAUGAGCUCUUGCUGCAUGUGGGGGGUUGGAAAGUUUCGGCGGUGGGGGAUGGAAUCGCGGCUUAUCAGCUGGUUGGUGAGGUAGGGGCUUACAAAGGCUUUGACGGGUAGCCGGCCUGAGAGGGGGAACGGCCACAUGGCGACUGAGAUACGCAGCAGACUCCUACGGGAGGCAGCGGGGGGGAACAUUGCGCAAUGGGCGGAAGCCUGAUACAGCAACGCCGCGUGCGGAAUGACGGCCUUCGGGUUGUAAACCGCUUUCGCAUGUGACGAAGCGUGCGUGACGGUAAUGGGUAAAAAAGCACCGGCUAACUACGUG